rnacentral:lncRNA from 1 species
AAUGAUCCCCCUUUUUCUCUGUAUCGUCUCCAAGCUCAGACACGACCCCUCCCAAAACCCUAGCAGCCGCUACCCCUCUCCUUCACUGUAAGCGCGGCGGCAACGAUGGCGGUGACCACCAGAAACAUACCCCUGAACCCCCAGACCAUUCCCUUCAUGAAUCCACAACCCUUUCUCCUCGAAUUGUUACCAAACGUCUCGAAUCUUCGCCUGAAGAAUCAGACCAAAACCUUAAUUCACCCAAUCAUUACCAAAAUCACACCAGUGAACCACCUGGCUCCCCUUGUUCCUAAAAUACCUUUAGUUUUGCUCGAAUCGUGCUAGAGCUGGCCGAAUGCUAAAUCGACUAAUGAAUCCUAACGAGACCAAGACUAGAAACCAUCUAAUUAGGAGAUCUUUAAGGUUGUUAAUCGACCUUAGGAACACUCGAUUAAGAUCCAUUUUGGCCUCAAAAGUUUGAGUCAAAGCUUCGAUGAGAACGAAGUUCAUUUGCUUUAUGAUUCCUAAGGUAUUCUUUAUAUUUUCCUUUUUAUUUUCCAUUAUUUUAUUGUUUACUGGUUUAGUUUUCAUUGUAGCUCAUCUUUUGUUCAUUAUUUUUCAUCAUUCUCCAUCAGACCUUUUAUUUGGUCCAGUUUCACCAUUGUUUUUUUGUUGUAAAUUGUCAUAUUUGGAAUCGAUUCAAAUAGUUUUAUUGAUUAGUUAAUUUUCUUGUAGCUCCUUGUUUUGUUCAAGGCUACCCAAAUCCCCUAUACCCCCUCCCAAUUUUUUUCAAUACUAUAUGGUCAAAUUCACCUGCCUAUUUGGUUUACUCUUGAUUUCUGUUCCUUCUUUGAGUGAUUUGAACUAGUCAAUGCUUAGUAAGUCUUCUGUAAAAAAUGUUUUUGUUCCCGUAAUUCUCGCUAUUAAUGUUAGUUCAAGGGGUUUUCAUAUGUGUUAUCUACCAUCUUGCAUAGGAAUUCUAGUUGGUUGUCAUUCAGGGAAUUUACAUUGUUCGUUUGUUCUAGUUUAGGUUCAAUAUAGAAUUGUAUUAGUUUAUUCCCUAAGUCAUUCAUUCCUUCAUCUUGGUUGAAAUAUUAUUUUCCCUGGUUUGAGUUCAAUUGUUAUUUGAGUUUAAUGAUUUUGAAUCUUAUUGUGGUUUUGUUUAAAGUCUGCAGACUGAUAAGUUAGACUUGAGCUUAAGUCCAAUUUAAGUUCAGUUUUUAAGUUAGACUCGAGUUUAAGAGCCCAACCCUUUAGUUGUUCCUGAUUCAUUGGGAGUUGAUCCUGGUUCUCUAAUUUAGAUAACUUUGGUUAUAGUUGGGGGUGCAGAGGUUUGAGGUAGUAGUUCAGGACUUUAGGAGGGUAAUUUUGAAAUUGAAACUUGGAGAAUUGAUUUAAUUGAGUGGUCUGUCCAGUAGGGUACUAAUGUGCCAUUUAAAAUAAUGCAUUUGUUUAAGAGUAGUGGGAAAGGCAUAAUUAUAUAUAAAAGAAAAAAGGGGUUGGAAAGUAAAAAGAUGGGGGGUAAUAAUGAAAAGCUAAAAGAUACACAUAGUAGAGAAAUAUAAAAGUUGGAAAGUAAAAAGAGGCAUGUGGUAAUAACAAUAGUUUUUUUUUACAAUUGUAAAAGGAAAAGGAGGGCAGGAAAAGGGGAUACGUGUUUAGAAGGACUUCUAAAAAUCUUGGGGGUCAGAAUUUGAGAGUAAAGGACAGAAUUUUGACAUCAGAAAGUCAGAGUUUAAGAGAGAAAUAUAGGCUGGUCUUUUAAUCUGAAAAAUUCAGCAGUUUGAGAAAACAAAACUGAAAAAGUGAGGUCUUUCUUUAUCACAGAGAAUAAGAACUGUUCCAUUGUUCAAAUGUUUCCUAGUUCACUUUAUUUCUCCCAGUGAUUUCAGUUUGGUAUUGCUGGGGUUUCAAGUAAUUUUUCCUGAGUGUGCUAUUGAAUAUUUGCUAUUGUUGCGUUAGUUUAUUCCUGGGUUUUUCACUGGUUGUUAUGGUAUGUUAGUUUUUGGGUUUAUUUCUACUGGUUGUUUUGCUAUUUUCUGUUGUUGGUUGCUCCUGUUGUUUGCUACUGAUCUGCUGAUCCUCACCUUCUUCUUCUAUUCUAUUACCAGGUACACUUUCGAAUCACUGUGAUGUAGUUGUUAAAAGUGAAUAGAAAUGCUCGAGUAGUCGAGUACUUAGGUUGUAUCUGUAGUUUAAUAGUCAAAUGAUAAGUAGUUGUAUAAUCUAUUUUUGUAAUUCAAUGAAGUAAGUGGACUGUGGAAUUUACAUUUGACUGGAACUGUUUCUUUUGUUCAUAAACUGCAAUGUGUAGUUAUUCGUUGUACAUUUCAUGUAGUUAUGUGAUUUGUAGAAUGAACAGAGUUAGUAAUCACUUAUUUCCAAUCAUGUCUUCAGCCUUUGUUUUUUUUAUUUGUACAAAAACAUAGGACUUACCAAUAGGCAAUC